UCGAACGUUGUCACUCGAUUGAAUGGGGCGUUAUCAGCGGUUAUCAGCCCAUAGAAAUGGGCCAGGAGGGGCCUCCUGUGCCUACUAGUAGGCUCAGAAGGCCGUGAUCAUCCAUCCAAAUGGUUGAUCACCAACAAAUAUACAAGAGAAGACUCCAGAUCCAAUCCCAGAAUUCCUGCUCACCGGUAAUCGGAAGUCUACUGGACGAAUGCGGGAACGUUGCGAUAUUUCCUGCUUAAUAUUUUCAGCAUACAUCUCCAGCUGGUUGCAAGGACUUCUGUGGCAAGUUGAAGAUGGCCCAGAGAGGUUAGCCUUACAGUUGCUGAUCUAGAAGCAUUAGGCAAGAGUGUCUGAGAACGAUGAACUGGAUAGGUAAUUACAAAAGAUCACAAAUGACUAAUGCUUCGUCUGAGCCCCGGUCAUCAAAGGCCAAAGUUCACAUUAGAGAGCUGUCGGAUUACAAUCUUUUUUAUAGGGACAUAUUCAAAAACAAAGGCACAAUGAAUGAUAUUAAGGGCAGGUGCGCCACAUUGGGGGAAGAUGCAAAGCAGAAAUACAUUCAAGAGGCAGCAGCACUGAGGGCACAUGGGCAGUCAGGGGACACUAAACCCUGAGAUGGAGGCAAUUUGUGCUGUGUCUGCCGCAUCCAUUUUUAUGAUAAGAAGAAGAAUGCAAGAAAGAAGUGGCAUUCAUGGUCUCAGUGCACAGUGUGCCAAUCAUGGUCACACACAGCAUGUGGCUUUAAAAAGAACAAGUGUGUUCACUGCCAGUGUCAAGACACCAUGCUAACACCCUGAAGAUGUAUCUUGUUACUUGUUUGAGUUGUUUUUACUGUGUUGACGGCCCCCAACCCAUCCAUACAAACACACACACACAAUACAUACAUAUGCUGCAAAUUUAUUGUAAUGACCACACUUCACACGUAAGAAGAAAAUUGUGAUCUUUUUGUUAUUUUCAUUCACCCAAUUUUUAUUUAUUAUUGUUGUUUGUUGGCACCAUCAAUGUGUUCUCCUUUAUACAGGACUUAUGUGGGGAACAAUAAAGUUAUAUUGUACUGAA